UGGGGAAUAUUGCACAAUGGGCGCAAGCCUGAUGCAGCCAUGCCGCGUGUGUGAAGAAGGCCUUCGGGUUGUAAAGCACUUUCAGCGAGGAGGAAGGUGGUGAACUUAAUACGUUCAUCAAUUGACGUUACUCGCAGAAGAAGCACCGGCUAACUCCGUGCCAGCAGCCGCGGUAAUACGGAGGGUGCAAGCGUUAAUCGGAAUUACUGGGCGUAAAGCGCACGCAGGCGGUUUGUUAAGUCAGAUGUGAAAUCCCCGGGCUCAACCUGGGAACUGCAUUUGAAACUGGCAAGCUAGAGUCUCGUAGAGGGGGUAGAAUUCCAGGUGUAGCGGUGAAAUGCGUAGAGAUCUGGAGGAAUACCGGUGGCGAAGGCGGCCCCCUGGACGAAGACUGACGCUCAGGUGCGAAAGCGUGGGGAGCAAACAGAUUAGAUACCCUGGUAGUCACGCCUGUAAACGAUGUCGAUUUUGGAGGUUGUGCCCCUUGAGGCGUGGCUUCCGGAGCUAACGCGUUAAAUCGACCGCCUGGGG
rnacentral:rRNA from 1 species